UUAAAUGCACUACAAAAUUUUCCAAUAAUAAUUUAUGCAAAUCAUAUUUGUCACUUUAUCAUAAAUGUUUUAUUAAUGAACUGUAAAUUACUAUUUAUGUGACUUUCAAUAUGUGCCAUUAAUUUCUUUGAGUGCCUCGCCGAUGCUUUAUAAUUAAAAGAAACAUACAAAGCGGCACAAUUAAGCUUUUUUUCCGAAAUUGCUUUGAGCAAGUUAUGACUAAACGCCACAUAAAUUCUAUUUCAAAGUGUAUGAUAGAAACAGUUAUUGAUGUGUGUGUUGUAGGUGUGUCUACAGGGUGUAUAAAUCCGUUUAUUAACUUUAUUCAAGACCUGUUAAAUGCAAUGAAACUUAAAAAUAGGUAAAUGUACCUUUUUGUAGAUUCGGGUGCAAUAUUGGACUGCCUUCGGGAACAAACUAGCUGGACAACAUAACAACAUAACUUGUUAUGGGCUAAACAUUCAAAAAUUAUUCAUCCAAGUUUCGCAAUUCUCUCAGCUCUACUGAAAUCAACGUGGAUAUGUUGGCACCAUACCGGGUGGCACAACGAAAACGAAACAGGCUGAAUACCUACCGGUCUCAAGCGGUACCUACCUUCAUCGCUAGCUAUCUAAAACGACGAAGACCGAAGGAACUAGUCAACUCUGCAAUUCUCAACAAAGACCAACAUUCUUAGGGAUGAGUACUAUUCACCAUCACCACUUCGAAUUCGGCGCUGUCAUUAUCAUCAUUCCGGUCCAUCCGCCAUCGAGGUUUACUGUUAAGGUAGCUACUAGUAGUCAAUCAAAGUGACAAUGGUGUUUCACUACUAGUAGCUUCAAUUGAGAACAAAAUAUACGUAUCAAGUUAUUUAUUUUUUAAGUUAUCACUGUUACAGGAAGAUCUUUGUAAUACAAAAAAGAAACGUAUUUCAUUUGUUCAUCUCUAGAAUAAUAUUGUACUGCCCUAACUGCACUUUGCUGGUAGCUCGCACUAGUUCAUCACACGACAUAGUCUCUCCACCCCCCCCCCCCC